rnacentral:misc_RNA from 1 species
CAGAGUCGUAAAAAACUCCCAAACCCAUGUGAACUUACCUUUGUUGCCUCGGCAGGACCUACCCGGUAGCUACCCUGUACCUACCCUGUAGCCUGCCGGUGGACCAUUCAACUCUUGUUAUUUUAUAGAAAUCUGAGCGUCUUAUUUAAUAAGUCA